GCGGAUGUGGCGAAAUGGCAGACGCACUACCUUGAGGUGGUAGCGCCGCAAGGCAUGCGGGUUCGACUCCCGCCGUCCGCA
rnacentral:tRNA from 1 species